GGGGGUAUAGCUCAGUGGUAGAGCGUGUGCUUAGCAUGCACAAGGUCCUGGGUUUAAUCCCCGUACCUCCA
rnacentral:tRNA from 1 species